rnacentral:rRNA from 1 species
GGGUUGUGAGGUUAAGUGACUAAGCGUACACGGUGGAUGCCUAGGCAGUCAGAGGCGAUGAAGGGCGUGCUAAUCUGCGAAAAGCGUCGGUAAGGUGAUAUGAACCGUUAUAACCGGCGAUACCCGAAUGGGGAAACCCAGUGUGUUUCGACACACUAUCAUGUCAUGAAUACAUAGUGGCAUGAGGCGAACCGGGGAACUGAAACAUCUAAGUACCCCGAGGAAAAGAAAUCAACCGAGAUUCCCCCAGUAGCGGCGAGCGAACGGGGAGGAGCCCAGAACCUGAAUCGGCUUGUGUGUUAGUGGAAGCGUCUGGAAAGUCGCGCAGCAAAGGGUGAUAGCCCCGUACACUAAAAUGCACAGGUCGUGAGUUCGAUGAGUAGGGCGGGACACGUGACAUCCUGUCUGAAUAUGGGGGGACCAUCCUCCAAGGCUAAAUACUCCUGACUGACCGAUAGUGAACCAGUACCGUGAGGGAAAGGCGAAAAGAACCCCGGCGAGGGGAGUGAAAUAGAACCUGAAACCGUGUACGUACAAGCAGUGGGAGCACCUUCGUGGUGUGACUGCGUACCUUUUGUAUAAUGGGUCAGCGACUUAUAUUUUGUAGCAAGGUUAACCGUAUAGGGGAGCCGUAGGGAAACCGAGUCUUAACUGGGCGAUUAGUUGCAAGGUAUAGACCCGAAACCCGGUGAUCUAGCCAUGGGCAGGUUGAAGGUUGGGUAACACUAACUGGAGGACCGAACCGACUAAUGUUGAAAAAUUAGCGGAUGACUUGUGGCUGGGGGUGAAAGGCCAAUCAAACCGGGAGAUAGCUGGUUCUCCCCGAAAGCUAUUUAGGUAGCGCCUCGUGAACUCAUCUUCGGGGUAGAGCACUGUUUCGGCUAGGGGGCCAUCCCGGCUUACCAAACCGAUGCAAACUCCGAAUACCGAAGAAUGUUAUCACGGGAGACACACGGCGGGUGCUAACGUCCGUCGUGAAGAGGGAAACAACCCAGACCGCCAGCUAAGGUCCCAAAGUCAUGGUUAAGUGGGAAACGAUGUGGGAAGGCAUAGACAGCCAGGAUGUUGGCUUAGAAGCAGCCAUCAUUUAAAGAAAGCGUAAUAGCUCACUGGUCGAGUCGGCCUGCGCGGAAGAUGUAACGGGGCUAAACCAUGCACCGAAGCUGCGGCAGCGACGCUUAGGCGUUGUUGGGUAGGGGAGCGUUCUGUAAGCCGUUGAAGGUGGCCUGUGAGGGUUGCUGGAGGUAUCAGAAGUGCGAAUGCUGACAUAAGUAACGAUAAAGCGGGUGAAAAGCCCGCUCGCCGGAAGACCAAGGGUUCCUGUCCAACGUUAAUCGGGCAGGGUGAGUCGACCCUAAGGCGAGGCUGAAAAGCGUAGUCGAUGGGAAACAGGUUAAUAUUCCUGUACUUGGUGUUACUGCGAAGGGGGGACGGAGAAGGCUAGGCUGGCCGGGCGACGGUUGUCCCGGUUUAAGCGUGUAGGGGGUGUGACCUGGUAAAUCCGGUUGCAUAUCAACCCUGAGGCGUGAUGACGAUGCACUACGGUGCAGAAGUAGUUGAUGCCCUGCUUCCAGGAAAAUCCUCUAAGCUCCAGGUAACAUUAAAUCGUACCCCAAACCGACACAGGUGGUCAGGUAGAGAAUACCAAGGCGCUUGAGAGAACUCGGGUGAAGGAACUAGGCAAAAUGGUGCCGUAACUUCGGGAGAAGGCACGCUGGCAUGUAGGUGAAGUCCCUUGCGGACGGAGCUGAAGCCAGUCGAAGAUACCAGCUGGCUGCAACUGUUUAAUAAAAACACAGCACUGUGCAAACACGAAAGUGGACGUAUACGGUGUGACGCCUGCCCGGUGCUGGAAGGUUAAUUGAUGGGGUCAGCCGCAAGGCGAAGCUCUUGAUCGAAGCCCCAGUAAACGGCGGCCGUAACUAUAACGGUCCUAAGGUAGCGAAAUUCCUUGUCGGGUAAGUUCCGACCUGCACGAAUGGCGUAAUGAUGGCCAGGCUGUCUCCACCCGAGACUCAGUGAAAUUGAACUCGCUGUGAAGAUGCAGUGUACCCGCGGCAAGACGGAAAGACCCGUGAACCUUUACUAUAGCUUGACACUGAACAUUGAGCCUUGAUGUGUAGGAUAGGUGGGAGGCUUUGAAGCGUGGACGCCAGUCUGCGUGGAGCCAUCCUUGAAAUACCACCCUUUAAUGUUUGAUGUUCUAACUCGGCCCCAUAAUCUGGGGUGAGGACAGUGUCUGGUGGGUAGUUUGACUGGGGCGGUCUCCUCCCAAAGAGUAACGGAGGAGCACGAAGGUUAGCUAAUCACGGUCGGACAUCGUGAGGUUAGUGCAAAGGCAUAAGCUAGCUUGACUGCGAGAGUGACGGCUCGAGCAGGUACGAAAGUAGGUCUUAGUGAUCCGGUGGUUCUGAAUGGAAGGGCCAUCGCUCAACGGAUAAAAGGUACUCCGGGGAUAACAGGCUGAUACCGCCCAAGAGUUCAUAUCGACGGCGGUGUUUGGCACCUCGAUGUCGGCUCAUCACAUCCUGGGGCUGAAGUAGGUCCCAAGGGUAUGGCUGUUCGCCAUUUAAAGUGGUACGCGAGCUGGGUUUAGAACGUCGUGAGACAGUUCGGUCCCUAUCUGCCGUGGGCGUUGGAAGAUUGAGAGGGGUUGCUCCUAGUACGAGAGGACCGGAGUGAACGCACCACUGGUGUUCGGGUUGUCAUGCCAAUGGCAUUGCCCGGUAGCUAAGUGCGGAAAAGAUAAGCGCUGAAAGCAUCUAAGCGCGAAACUUGCCUCAAGAUGAGUCUUCCCUGGGCCUUUAAGGCCCCUGAAGGAACGUUUAAGACUAAGACGUUGAUAGGCUGGGUGUGUAAGUGCAGCGAUGCAUUGAGCUAACCAGUACUAAUGAUCCGUGAGGCUUAACCUUACAACACCGAAGGUGUUU